rnacentral:rRNA from 1 species
AACGAACGCUGGCGGCAUGCCUAACACAUGCAAGUCGAACGAGACCACCGGGUCUUUUCGCGCACGGGUUCGUAACGCGUCGGAACCUUCCCACAGGUUCGGCAUAACUCUCCGACUGGGGUGCCAAUACGGAACCAUGUCUUCGGACCAAUGAUUUAUCGCCCUUGGUUGGUCCCUCGUUGGAUUAGCUUGUUGGUAGGGUAAUAGCUUACUAAGGCGACGAUGCAUAGCUGGUUUGAGAGGAUGAUCAGCCACACUGGGACUGAGACACGGCCCAGACUCCUACGCGAGGCAGCAGUGGGGAAUGUUGGACAAUGGGCGAAAGCCUGAUCCAGCAAGGCCGCGUGAGUGAUGAAGGCCGUAGGGUUGUAAAGCGCUUUUACCCGGGAUGAUAAUGACAGUACCGGGAGAAUAAGCUCCGGCUAACUACGUG